rnacentral:rRNA from 1 species
CAUGCAAGUCGGACGAGGUCCAUCUUGUAGCAAUACAAGUGAAGACCUAGUGGCGAACGGGUGAGGAACACGUGAGAAAUUUGCCCCGAACUUUGGGAUAACAGUUGGAAACGACUGCUAAUACCGAAUGCCGUUACAAGGUGGCAUCACUUUGUAACGAAAGAAUUUCGGUUCGGGAGAAUCUCGCGGCCUAUCAGCUUGUUGGUGAGGUAACGGCUCACCAAGGCUACGACGGGUAGCUGGUCUGAGAGGAUGAUCAGCCACACUGGGACUGAGACACGGCCCAGACUCCUACGGGAGGCAGCAGUGGGGAAUCUUGUGCAAUGGACGAAAGUCUGACACAGCCACGCCGCGUGCGGGAAGAAGGCCUUCGGGUUGUAAACCGCUUUCAGCAGGAACGAAAAUGACGGUACCUGCAGAAGAAGGAGCGGCCAACUACGUGCCAGCAGCCGCGGUGAUACGUAGGCUCCAAGCGUUGUCCGGAUUUAUUGGGCGUAAAGAGCUCGUAGGCGGUUCAGCAAGUCGGGUGUGAAAACUCUGGGCUCAACCCAGAGCCUGCACCCGAAACUGCUGUGACUAGAGUUCGGUAGGGGAGUGGGGAAUUCCUAGUGUAGCGGUGAAAUGCGCAGAUAUUAGGAGGAACACCGAUGGCGAAGGCACCACUCUGGGCCGAAACUGACGCUGGGGAGCGAAAGCGUGGGUAGCAAACAGGAUUAGAUACCCUGGUAGUCCACGCCGUAAACGAUGGGCACUAGGUGUGGGUCUCUAACCAACGAGAUCCGCGCCGUCGCUAACGCAUUAAGUGCCCCGCCUGGGGAGUACGGUCGCAAGACUAAAACUCAAGGGAAUUGACGGGGGCCCGCACAAGCAGCGGAGCGUGUUGCUUAAUUCGAUGCUACGCGAGAACCUUACCUAGGUUAAAUCAUUGG